AGUGAACGCUGGCGGUAGGCCUAACACAUGCGAGUCGAACGGCAGCACAGUAAGAGCUUGCUCUUACGGGUGGCGAGUGGCGGACGGGUGAGGAAUACAUCGGAAUCUACUUUUUCGUGGGGGAUAACGUAGGGAAACUUACGCUAAUACCGCAUACGACCUACGGGUGAAAGCAGGGGAUCUUCGGACCUUGCGCGAUUGAAUGAGCCGAUGUCGGAUUAGCUAGUUGGCGGGGUAAAGGCCCACCAAGGCGACGAUCCGUAGCUGGUCUGAGAGGAUGAUCAGCCACACUGGAACUGAGACACGGUCCAGACUCCUACGGGAGGCAGCAGUGGGGAAUAUUGGCCAAUGGGCGCAAGCCUGAUCCAGCCAUACCGCGUGGGUGAAGAAGGCCUUCGGGUUGUAAAGCCCUUUUGUUGGGAAAGAAAAGCAGCAGGUUAAUACCCCGCUGUUCUGACGGUACCCAAAGAAUAAGCACCGGCUAACUUCGUG
rnacentral:rRNA from 1 species